AACGCAAAUUGCACUCCCUGGUAUUCCGGGGAGUAUGCCUGUUUGAGGGUCAGUUUAAAUAAAAUCCGAAGUGUUGCUUUUUUUUUGUGGCGUUUCGGAAUUUGGGUUAUCUUAGCACUUAGCGUUUAGGGUUAAGAGGCCUGAAAUUGAUGAUUUUUUGCCAUCCUGGACGUGUAUAAUUUCUUGUCCGUUCCGGGUGUCAGAGUCUUCCUAUUAGGUAUGAUCAUGUCGUGUGAUUUCGUUCCUAUAACUUUUUCUCAUUGAAUGACCUCAAAUCAGGUAGGGAUACCCGCUGAACUUAA
rnacentral:misc_RNA from 1 species